rnacentral:rRNA from 1 species
UACGUAGGGUGCGAGCGUUAAUCGGAAUUACUGGGCGUAAAGCGUGCGCAGGCGGUUAUGUAAGACAGAUGUGAAAUGCCCGGGCUUAACCUGGGAACUGCAUUUGUGACUGCAUGGCUAGAGUGUGUCAGAGGGGGGUAGAAUUCCAACGUGUAGCAGUGAAAUGCGUAGAUAUGUGGACGGAAUACCGAUGGCGAAGGCCAGGCCCCCUGGGAUAACACU